CCCUUAGAUGUUCUGGGCUGCACACGUGCUACACUGGCAGGUUCAGCGAGCUUCAUGCCCUGAUCUGAAAGGAAUGGGAAAUCUUUUCAAAACCUGCCGUGCUUGGGAUAGCUGUUUGCAAUUAUUCAUCUUCAACGAGGAUUGCCUUGUAAGCGCACGUCAUCAGCGUGCAUUGAAUACGACCCUGUAUUCUGUACACACCGCCCGUCGCUCCUACCGAUUGAAGUUUUCGGUGAGUUGACAGGAGGAUUUUUUUGAAACUGGUUCGCCAGUGGAUUUUAGAUCCAAAUGCCAACGAAUCGAUGGCUUUAGAGGAAGGAGAAGUCGUAACA
rnacentral:rRNA from 1 species